AGAACUACAGUGUCGUUCACAGAGAAAUGACCUAGAAAAUCUCUGUCACUUUAAGAGACUUUCACUAGCAGGAAGAGAAGGCUAGAAGAGAAAGGAAGAGGUUACAACAGAUGGUUGUGCAGUUUAACUUUUGCCUGUGAAGUCAGAAACAACUAAAAAAGAAGCAUAUCCCCAGAUCUGCAAUAUGAUCCUCUGAGGAGUGAGAUGUAAGUGGGCCAAUGAAAGCUACCCCUGAUAUUUGGUUCCGCGUUGCUUUUGGAGAACCAGUCUCAAGGAGGUUGACAAAAUAAAACAUGCAGCCUGAAAGGGCACUUAUGACUCGAGCAGUUGAGAAGAAGACAGCUACAGUUAGAAAACUUGUCAGUGGGAGGAGGAAACUGAUCGACCCUUAAGUCACAUAAAUUUGCAGGGACAUCAAAAGCCAGAGGCUCGUUCCCCCAUAUUUGUAUUCAGUUUCCUUCUCAGACACAAACUGGACAUACUCCAAUGAAUGGACUGAAUAUUAGAACAACUCUGUGUCAAAUGAACUUAUGAUUGUAAAAACUGUCUUAAUAUUGGUAUGGUUUCUGCUUUGAAUAAGUGAGGUAAGUUUAUUAACCCUGUUCUGAUGAUAUACACAGUGUGAAUAAAUGUAAUGGACUUGUAGCAACAAGCCCUGCCUCA